CAACCUUAAAUAUUAAAAUUUAAAUCAAGAGAUUUAAAUUCACUAAAAUAAUUUAGUGAAAAUUCAAACACAUAGGCAACACAAUCACAUAAGGCACAUAAGAAUCACAAUCAAACAUCAUUAAAACAUGCUCUGUUUUUACACUGGUUCAACUUCAAAAUUUAAACUGUUCUGACUCCGACAUCUCCUGGACUCGAGACUCAUACUGAAAGAAAUUUCUUCGAGUCUAGUUUCAUUUAAAAAAAAAUAGAGUCGAAAGCUCCAAGUGGUUUGAGAGAUAUGACGUUUUUACCACGAUCUACCAUUUCUGGCAGUUUUGUGCAACCGAAGGUUACAAUUUUUGAAAAAUAGUAAACGUUGUCAAACUGGGCUCAACUUUGGUGGAUAUCUAGCUAACACAAUAAGGUUGAUACCAUAAAAAGUUGGAAAGCUAGAUCACAUAGGAAGCUACUUAAAUGAAUAACUCUUUCCCCUGUUCUCUGAAAUUCUCGGUAAUAAUGUGCAGUUUAGGUUUUGCAUUUUAAAG
rnacentral:lncRNA from 1 species